UCCUCUUAGCUCAGUUGGUAAAGAAUCUGCCUGCAGUGCAGGAGACCUGGGUUCAAUUCCUGGAUCAGGAA
rnacentral:tRNA from 1 species